rnacentral:lncRNA from 1 species
GGGCAAAUCUUGUAAUGAAUCAAGAUUUCCCUAAUGGUCGGGUGAAUGGGAAGCCUUAAGCCGGCCAGAAAAGCGGCUUCGUAAAACGCUACCUCGCCUUGGCGGGCUGAUAAAAUUGUCUCGCCAUCCCCAGGAAUCCGAAGUCGUACCCCUGAGGGAAAUGAAUAGGUAGAUCCGAGCUUGUCCAGUUCAGCCUGGGACAUGACGUUACCCUCCUUAGUAAGACUCGAGGUAUCCAUCUUUGGAGAAUUUUGUGGUAUCGGUGGAAAUGAGGGAGACUGGCUCGUCUUGUCGAUAUAAGACUUCGCCCCUAGAUGAUCGGAUAUCCAAGAAGGCAGGGAUUGCUC